GAUGAACGCUGGCGGCGUGCCUAAUACAUGCAAGUCGAGCGAACAGACGAGGAGCUUGCUCCUCUGACGUUAGCGGUGGACGGGUGAGUAACACGUGGAUAACCUACCUAUAAGACUGGGAUAACUUCGGGAAACCGGAGCUAAUACCGGAUAACAUGUUGAACCGCAUGGUUCAACAGUGAAAGACGAUCUUGCUAUCACUUAUAGAUGGAUCCGAGCAGCAUUAGCUAGUUGGUAAGGUAACGGCUUACCAAGGCAACGAUGCGUAGCCGACCUGAGAGGGUGAUCGGCCACACUGGAACUGAGACACGGUCCAGACUCCUACGGGAGGCAGCAGUAGGGAAUCUUCCGCAAUGGGCGAAAGCCUGACGGAGCAACGCCGCGUGAGUGAAGAAGGUCUUCGGAUCGUAAAACUCUGUUAUUAGGGAAGAACAAAUGUGUAAGUAACUAUGCACGUCUUGACGGUACCUAAUCAGAAAGCCACGGCUAACUACGUGCCAGCCGCCGCCUAA
rnacentral:rRNA from 1 species